ACGCUUGCACCCUCCGUCUUACCGCGGCUGCUGGCACGGAGUUAGCCGGUGCUUCUUUUGCGGGUAACGUCAAUUGAUAUUAAUUAUUAAUUAAUAUCACUUUCAGCGGGAAAGAAAGUGAUAUUAAUUAAUAAUUAAUAUCACUUUCUUUCAGCGGGAAAGAAAGUGAUAUUAAUUAAUAAUUAAUAUCACUUUCUUUCCCGCUGAAAGUGAUAUUAAUUAAUAAUUAAUAUCAAUUGACGUUACCCGCAAAAGAAGCACCGGCUAACUCCGUGCCAGCAGCCGCGGUAAGACGGAGGGUGCAAGCGUUAAUCGGAAUUACUGGGCGUAAAGCGUAUGCAGGCGGUUUAUUAAGUCAGAUGUGAAUGCCCUGGGCUUAACCUAGGAAUUGCAUUUGAAACUGAUAAGCUAGAGUCUCGUAGAGGGGGGGAGAAUUCCAAGUGUAGCGGUGAAAUGCGUAGAGAUUGGAAGAAUACCAGUGGCGAAGGCGCCCCCCUGGACGAAAACUGACGCUCAAAUACGAAAGCAUGGGGAGCAAACAGGAUUAGAUACCCUGGUAGUCCAUGCUGUAAACGAUGUCGAUUUGAAGGUUGUAGCCUUGAGCUAUAGCCUUCGAAGCUAACGCAUUAAAUCGACCGCCUGGGGAGUACGACCGCAAGGUUAAAACUCAAAUGAAUUGACGGGGGCCCGCACAAGCGGUGGAGCAUGUGGUUUAAUUCGAUGAGACGCGAAAAACCUUACCUACUCUUGACAUCCAGAGUAUCAAACAGAAAUGUUUGAGUGCCUUCGGGAACUCUGAGACAGGUGCUGCAUGGCUGUCGUCAGCUCGUGUUGUGAAAUGUUGGUUAAGUCCCGCAACGAGCGCAACCCUUAUACUUUGUUGCCAAUGAUUAAAUCAGGAACUCAAAGUAGACUGCCGGUGAUAAACCGGAGGAAGGUGAGGAUACGUCAAGUCAUCAUGGCCCUUACGAGUAGGGCUACACACGUGCUACAAUGGGGCAUACAAAGAGAAGCAAACUUGCAAAAGUUAGCAAAUCUCAUAAAAUGCUUCGUAGUCCGGAUUGGAGUCUGCAACUCGACUCUAUGAAGUAUUUUAUGAGAUUUGCUAACAGAUCGGAAGAGCAC
rnacentral:rRNA from 1 species